rnacentral:rRNA from 1 species
GACGGGGGGGGCAAGUGUUCUUCGGAAUGACUGGGCGUAAAGGGCACGUAGGCGGUGAAUCGGGUUGAAAGUGAAAGUCGCCAAAAAGUGGCGGAAUGCUCUCGAAACCAAUUCACUUGAGUGAGACAGAGGAGAGUGGAAUUUCGUGUGUAGGGGGUGAAAUCCGUAGAUCUACGAAGGAACGCCAAAAGCGAAGGCGAGCUCUCCGGGUCCCUACCGACGCUGGGUGCGAAAGCAUGGGGAGCGAACAGGG